rnacentral:tRNA from 1 species
AAAAAGUUAGUUUAAUAAAAAUGUAAGUUUGUCGUUCUUAGGAUGCUUGGUUUUAAGUACUUUUUG